UAGGGAAUCUUCGGCAAUGGACGAAAGUCUGACCGAGCAACGCCGCGUGAGUGAAGAAGGUUUUCGGAUCGUAAAACUCUGUUGUUAGAGAAGAACAAGGACGUUAGUAACUGAACGUCCCCUGACGGUAUCUAACCAGAAAGCCACGGCUAACUACGUGCCAGCAGCCGCGGUAAUACGUAGGUGGCAAGCGUUGUCCGGAUUUAAUGGGCGUAAAGCGAGCGCAGGCGGUUUCUUAAGUCUGAUGUGAAAGCCCCCGGCUCAACCGGGGAGGGUCAUUGGAAACUGGGAGACUUGAGUGCAGAAGAGGAGAGUGGAAUUCCAUGUGUAGCGGUGAAAUGCGUAGAUAUAUGGAGGAACACCAGUGGCGAAGGCGGCUCUCUGGUCUGUAACUGACGCUGAGGCUCGAAAGCGUGGGGAGCAAACAGG
rnacentral:rRNA from 1 species